rnacentral:rRNA from 1 species
GUCGAGAAUCUUUCGCAAUGGGGGCAACCCUGACGAAGCGACGCCGCGUGCAGGAUGAAGGUCUUCGGAUUGUAAACUGCUGUCUUUGGGGAGCAACUGACGGGGCGCUAAUACCGCCACGAACUGAUAGUACCCGAGGAGGAAGCCACGGCUAACUCUGUGCCAGCAGCCGCGGUAAUACAGAGGUGGCAAGCGUUGUUCGGAUUUACUGGGCGUAAAGGGUGCGUAGGCGGAGUCGUGUGUCGGGUGUGAAAGCCCACGGAUCAUCUGUGGAAUGGCACUCGAAACUGCGACUCUAGAGUGCAGGAGAGGAGGGCGGAAUUCUCGGUGUAGCGGUGAAAUGCGUUGAUAUCGAGAGGAACGCCGGUGGCGAAGGCGGCCCUCUGGACUGACACUGACGCUGAGGCACGAAAGCUGGGGGAGCAAACAGGAUUAGAAACCCGGGUAGUCC